UACGGGGGGGGGCAAGCGUUGUUCGGAAUUACUGGGCGUAAAGGGCGCGUAGGCGGUCAGAUAAGUCAGCUGUGAAAACCUCGGGCUUAACCCGAGGCCUGCAGUUGAAACUGUUUGGCUGGAGUGUGGGAGAGGAGAGUGGAAUUCCCGGUGUAGCGGUGAAAUGCGUAGAUAUCGGGGAGGAACACCGGUGGCGAAGGCGGCUCUCUGGACCACUACUGACGCUGAGGCGCGAAAGCUAGGGGGAGCAAACAGG
rnacentral:rRNA from 1 species